rnacentral:rRNA from 1 species
GAGCGGCGCACGGGUGCGUAACACGUAGCUGACCUGCCCUUCGCAGGGGGAUAACACAGCGAAAGUUGUGCUAAUACCGCGUAGGCUGGUGGGGCUUAGAAGCCCAUCAGUAAAGCGAAUGCGGCGAAGGAGGGGGCUGCGGUCCAUCAGCCAGCUGGUGAGGUAACGGCUCACCAGGGCGACGACGGAUAGGGGGCCUGAGAGGGUGACCCCCACACUGGAACUGAGACACGGUCCAGACUCCUACGGGAGGCAGCAGUAAGGAAUAUUGCACCAAUGGGCGCAAGCCUGAUGCAGCAACGCCGCGUGAGGGAUGAAGGGGUUCGGCUCGUAAACCUCUUUUCUGUGUGAAGAGCAAGGACCGGUAGCACAGGAAUCAGUCUCGGCCAACUACGUGCCAAGGCAGCCGGGGGUAAAACGUAGGAGGCGAGCGUAUCCGGAAUUACUGGGCGUAAAGCGCAACGUAGGCGGCGCUGCAAGUGGUGCGUGAAAAGCUCCCCGGCUCAACUGGGAGAGGCCGUACCAAACUGCGGUGCUAGAGACAGAUAGAGGUCGACAGAAUUCCGGGUGGAUUGGUGAAAUGCGUAGAGAUCCGGAGGAAUACCAGAGGCGAAGGCGGUCGGCUGGGUCUGGUCUGACGCUGAGGUGCGAAAGUGUGGGGAGCGAACGGGAUUAGAAACCCCGGUAGUCCACACCGUAAACGAUGCAUACUAGUUGUUAGGUGCCUACGGGCGCUGAGUGACGAAGCCAACGCGUUAAGUAUGCCGCCUGGGGAGUACGGUCGCAAGGCUAAAACUCAAAGGAAUUGACGGGGGCCCGCACAAGCAGCGGAGCGUGUGGUUUAAUUCGAGGCUACGCGAAGAACCUUACCUGGGCUUGACAUAUAAGUAGUACCCUGGUGGAAACACCGGGAGACCUUCGGGAGCUUAUACAGGUGCUGCAUGGCUGUCGUCAGCUCGUGCCGUGAGGUGUUCGGUUAAGUCCGAAAACGAGCGCAACCCCUGGCGUUAGUUACAAGUGUCUAACGCGACUGCCCGGGGAAACUGGGAGGAAGGUGGGGAUGACGUCAAGUCAGCAUGGCCUUUAUGUCCAGGGCGACACACACGCUACAAUGGCCGGUACAAUAGGCAGCCAAGCCGCGAGGUGGAGCGAAUCCAAUAAAACCGGUCUCAGUUCAGAUUGUAGGCUGCAACUCGCCUGCAUGAAGUCGGAGUUGCUAGUAAACGCGGAUCAGCCACGCCGCGUUGAAUACGUUCCCGGGCCUUGUACACACCGCCCGUCACGUCAUGGAAGCUGGUCACGCCUGAAGUCGGUGAGCGAACCGAAAGGACGCAGCCGCC